CUCGGAGCGUCGCUCUGGCAAGUCGCUCUGAGAAGGGGUGUCUCACGAUAGAAACGCGAGCGACCUCUCCAUGUCGCUCUGGCUGGAUCGCUACGGGAUAUGUGUCACAGCGACUUCACGGCGUCGCUCCGGUGAUGUCGCUUUGGUGCGCUGCUCGUCCGUUGAUCGCUUUAAACACUUCUUUUGAGCUCCAAAUGCACCCAAAUGCCUCCAAGAACUCCAUGUGGUACUCCAAUACCUGAUAAAGACUCAUGUAUGUAAAAUGCAACCUAAACAUGGCUAAAUCCUAGUCUAUAUGAUCAAAAUGCACAUGGGUGAAUGGAUAAAACAAUGUAAAUAUGCAAGAUAUCACUCGAGCUAGACGUUUAUCUAUUAAUUCCAAUAAUAUUAUCCAUUUAAACACAAAGAGUCUAUUCUUUUCCUUCGAACUUUUCAUGCUUCCAAACCAUAGUCACCACACUCACCUCCACCUAUAGCUAGACAAUAGAGUGUCUAAUCUAGUAAGAAUGAAGACCAAGCAUUGUCGUUCCCGAUACU
rnacentral:lncRNA from 1 species